rnacentral:lncRNA from 1 species
AAAGCGUCGGCCAGGCCGGGCGGAGGAGCGCCGGAGCCGGCGGUGUCCAAGCGAGUGGGAACUGGAGCAGCGGAGCCGUGGCAGGGAAAUGCACCUAGCUUUCAGGCUGGCUCCGCUUGAUGGAUAACUCAGAGCUCGGAGGAAGGCGACCCUGACUCGACCCGGCAGAAAAGAGGAGGUUUCCAUGUCGCUCAGGCUGGUCCCCAUACUAUAUAGCCUUAAAAUGCUGACCCUCCAGUUUCCACCUCCUAAGUGCUAGGAUUACAGCCUAUAGGAUCCAUUAAUGCAUUUCACAUACUCCUGAGUAUGGAGCCAUCUGGUGGGGCAUGGCCUUCUUACAAGGGAGAACACUCUUAAAGAAAGCUGACUCUUCUCCACUAGCGACUGUCAACUAUGAAUAGUCAACUAUGAAUAUAUCCUCAGCUAGAGGUGAGGGCUGUAAGCCUCUCCUUGGUCCAUGCCGGAAUGCUGGCUGGCUGGUCUUGUGCUGGGCAGAGCUGCUGUGAGUUUGAGUCCCAGAGGAUAGAGGAUACCAGUCUAUCACGGAGCUGAAACAGCAGACACAGCAGCAGGAACUGGACGCUGAGAAUGGAUAUCCUUUACCAUAAGCACAGAGCAGAAAGAGACAGCUGCAAGCGGCAGCGGAGAAAUAACCUAUCAGAUGGUGCUGAAACCCCGGAGAAGUUAAGUCCCCAGCGCGAUGGUUUUGGUCUUUCCUGGCCACGUGGGAACCACUUCUGUCCCUCUCUCUUCUCUGCUGGAUACAUCAUUUCUUCGGACUCAUGAGUACCCAUCCCUAGAUAUCCUGACUAUCCAGGUCCAGGACCCUCUGAGCUCUUGGCUGAGUUGCGGCCCAAUCCGAACAAAGACCAGGCCUUUGUUUUGGAGGAAGCUCUGAUAUAGAGACUUCUUAUCUGAGGUUACUGCCCCCACAUAAACCGUUGGGUCGAUCUCAGACUAUAAAUUGGGAUGACAAUUCAACAGUAUUGAGAUCUCUGGCAAACGUUGGGAAGAUGGGUGUCACGGGAUCUAAAACAAAAAUGUAUUCCUAUGUCCAGUUUUUGGGAAGCUGCGCUCUCCUAAUCUCCCUUCACUGCAUUGAGCAUAGGGCUCCAGGAGCCGCCUAGCCACUCCCACCUCUCUUCCCCAUCUCCUUCCUGUCCUCCUGUGGCUCUGUUGGCAGUGGCAGCAGCAGCACCACGGUUGUGAUGACUAAGGGUGGCAAGGCAUCCAUGUUCCCAGAAGUAAUUCCAAAUAAACUCCUUGGUUCACCAAGG